UGAGUGAAAACAUGUAUAUCUUAAGAUCUAUCUAUCAAGUGAAAUCAAAAUAGAAAUGUUAACAUAAGAUAGUCUUAUAAGUUUAAGUGUUGAAUUUCACAGGUUGGCAUACUUAGUUACUUCAAUAAACCUAAUAGACAAAAAAAUCGGAUAUUAUAUAAUCACGUACAGUAGGCGAUUGGAGAGAUAUUUGUAAGCAGAUUGCAUAAAUCAAACAGAUUGUAGCAUCUGGGAAUGAUGUUUUAUUCAAACGAAAGCCACACAACAUAUACCUUGAGGAACUGAACAAUGUUAUGGUUAAGUUAUUAAUACCAAAUACUGUAUUUUUGUUUGUGCUUUUACUAGCCAGUCUGGAUGGUAAUGGUUUAGUUGUGUACGUUUAUACAUUCAAGAUGAAAUCUAAAACGGAUGACAGAUAUUUCAUUCCAUGCUUAGCUGUUGUUGAUAUGAUCGCAUGCGGCCUUGGAGUAUCAUUUGGGAUUUGUUUGAAUUCUAAUCCGUUGAACUUUCGAAAGGGCGUAAUAUGUAAAUUGAUCUGGAGUUUAAAUCAAUUUACUGCAACGAGUUCGGGUCUGAUGAUAUUAGCAAUUGCUGUGCAACGGUAUAUUAAGGUCAGUCGACUAUCGAACUCUUCUAUGAGUCUACGAAGUAAACGAUUGACAAUUAUGGCAAUCAUAAUUGUAUCAAUUGUUAUAUCACUGCCGUGUUUUGUCUUGUAUGGCGAAACGGAGGUCCCAUUGAAAAGCGAAAACAGAACAAUUACUGGAUACAAUUGUGGCGCUUUGUCUAAUGUGAACCGAAAUUUUUUAUUUGGUUAUUCAGUUACGCUAUUACUAAUAUGUUUAGCUGUAAUUUUUGCGCUCAUCGCAUUAUAUUGCGUAUUACUUCGUAUCAUAUAUAAACAAGUAUCUUUCAGGAAGAGAAAUAGAUCAACCAAACGUUUUUUAGGCGUCAGUGUACAUCAUGGUUUCGAGAACAAAAUUAUAAAAGAUUCUGGUUCAACUAAUUUUGUAGAUGCGGAUUAUUCUGUUUACAAAUCUGAAUCCUACAACACGGACAUUGAAUCAAAGACGACAAGCAACCAAAACGAGUGCACGAAUGGAGGAUUCGACAUUAUGGGUCAUAUGUCUACUGCUCCUUCUGCAAUCCAUACAAGACGAACAAAAAAAUAAUCAGAAUUUUCAGUCGAAUCAAACGCAAACAUCGAUUCUUUAUAAUGUUUUUCCUUAUCAUACUAUUAUUUUUUAUCACCUAUUUCCCUAGAAUUGCAUUGAUGAUUGUAGAAUCUGUGAAAACAAGUUUCUGGGAUAGGUUAACAGACGCUCAAUACAUCAUAGUUUUAUGUUUUUACAGAGGAUAUGUAAUGAAUAAUGUUGUUAAUCCUGUAAUUUAUUUAAUAUUUCAUUCAGUUUUUAGAACAUCUUGCAAACAACUGUGUUGUAGAAAUUGAUGAGACUACAAUAAUGUCAAAAGGAUUAUCACAGAUAUAUUCUUCUAAUUGUU